AUUGAACGCUGGCGGCAGGCCUAACACAUGCAAGUCGAACGAGUGGCGGACGGGUGAGUAAUGUCUGGGAAACUGCCUGAUGGAGGGGGAUAACUACUGGAAACGGUAGCUAAUACCGCAUACCAUCAGAUGUGCCCAGAUGGGAUUCGCUAGUUGGUGGGGUAACGGCUCACCAAGGCGACGAUCCCUAGCUGGUCUGAGAGGAUGACCAGCCGAACUGGAACUGGGAGACGGUCAAGAGUCCAACGGGAGGAGGCAGUGUUGAAUAUUGCAAAACGGACGCAAGCCAGAUGCAGCCAUGCCGCGUGUAUGAAGAAGGCCUUCGGGGUGUAGAAUACUUUCAGCGGGGAAGCGUUACCCAAAGAAGAAGCACCGGCUAACUCCGUGCCAGCAGCCGCGGUAAUAC
rnacentral:rRNA from 1 species